UACGAAGGGGGCUAGCGUUGUUCGGAAUCACUGGGCGUAAAGGGCGCGUAGGCGGCUUUAUAAGUCGGGGGUGAAAGCCUGUGGCUCAACCACAGAAUUGCCUUCGAUACUGUAUGGCUUGAGACCGGAAGAGGUAAGUGGAACUGCGAGUGUAGAGGUGAAAUUCGUAGAUAUUCGCAAGAACACCAGUGGCGAAGGCGGCAUCCUGGACCGGUAUUGACACUGAGGCGCGAAAGCGUGGGGAGCAAACAGG
rnacentral:rRNA from 1 species